rnacentral:lncRNA from 1 species
CAGCGCAGCUCACGGAAGGCCAGAAGCUGGGGUCUGGGCCUGGUAAGCAAGAGAGCUUGUCCAGCCCCUCCCUGGAGCAGCAGACCCUGCCAGCCAGGCCCACCUCAGAGGGCCUGACCCCACCCCACGCCCAUUCACCCUGUACCAUCAUGCUCCCUCCGCAUGCCCAGCUCAGCAGCCCUCUACCUCAGGGUCUGCACACCUUUCCCUGUACCCCACCCCCUACCACCAAUGGCCCAGCUGCAGCUCAGGCUCUUUCCAUUUCUCAGAGGCAAAGAUGGGGCUGGGCAGAGGCGGGGAGAAAGCUAACAAGGGUACCCUGCUCUGGGUAGAGGGUAAGUGUAGAAGUUAAAAGGAGAAGGAGCUACCUAUACUUCAAAGGAUUAAAAGUCUGGAAGCUUAAUAGGAAGCUUAGUGAAAGGCUGGGGCCCUGGAUGUGACCCGGAUCCUUUGUUCUUAUUCCAUGUGGCCCAGGGCACACCCCACCCUUAAGAAGCCGUGGGAUUCCUUCUUGCUGCCUCUAUCUCUCAGCAAGGGGAUGACCACUGCCCUUUGCGUCUGUACCAGGCUCGAGUCCCAGCUUACUUUCUAGCUGUGUGACCUUAAGCAAAACCCAUCUACCUGGGGAGCAGGAUGGGCCUGAAUAUUCCCUUUAUGCAGGCCGAUGGGUUAUUCAAAGCCACACAAUGAUGCAAGUGGCCUGGAAUUGGGGGUGCUGUCACAUGAACCUGGUUCCUGCACACUGGUGAAUGACAGAUAUGGAGGCCCUGAACAACUGAAGCUUCUAGCUCUGGUCACUGAUGCCUGGGACUCUGGCUUCAGCUGGCCAGGAAGCUGGGAACAAUGGCCAGGACUGGUCCUGCUGCCCUGUCUGGCCAAAGGAGCAGGACAGCUCUUCACACCAGGCCCAGGGGGGCCAGCCUCUCAGCCCGCUCAGCUGUCUGAGGGAUUGCAGUUACUAGGCUCCACCUUCCCAUUUGUGCAGAGGCAGCCCUCCAUAGACGGCCUGCGCCUCUGGGCACUGACAUACAAGUUAUCUCUUGGUCUCCAUUCCCAUCCCACUGCCCCCCUGUCUUCCUCCAGAGCAGGCCUUGGGUGAGACCAUGGGCUGCUCAGGCCACAGAAAUUCGCCCAAGGCCUCCCAGUCAGACUCUGGUGACAAGCUCCGCAUUCAACCCUUAAGCAAGUGGUUUCUUUGUUCCUUGAAGGUCACGCCUCCAGGAAGAGCCUUGGCUGCUAUUGAUUUUCUCAAACCUACAAAGAUUCCAGCCAGAAUAGCCUGCAAAGAAGGUGGGGGGGGGGGGCUGUGGAGUCUCCAUCUUCACUACAGAUGACUCCAUCCCCUCCCUGGGUCUACACUCCUUCCUUUUUUAAUCCACAAGCAUUACUGAGCACCGCUGUUGGCCAGAGGGUGCAACAGGGCACUAAGCAAGAACUUCAGAUGAGAGGGUUUGGAGUUUUCAUGAAUCAAAAAGUAGGGUCAAAAAAUGUCAAAAUUGCUGGGUGUGGUGGCACACACCUGUAAUCCCAAUGGCUAGGGAGGCUGAGGCAGCAGGAUCUUGAGUUCAAAGCCAGCCUCAGCAACUUUGCAAGUCCCUAAACAACUUAUUAAGACCCUGUCUGAAAAUAUAACAUAAAAAGGGGCGGGAUGUGGCUUAGUGGUUAAGCACCUCUGGGUUCAAUCCCCCGUACCAAAAAAUAUCUAGUACAAAAUAUGCUAUGCAAAAGUCCCCCCAACCCUCAUUCCAUCCUACCCUCAGCUGGAAUCCUCACCUAGUUCCUAAACCUGUCCCAGAGCCAGCCCCAGCCCUGGGAUGGGCUGUGAUGUGUGUUGUACAUGUUGUAUUAAACACCACUGUUACUUUGUUGUAGUUAUUUCAUUUAAUCCAGAUCAGUAUUCUUGCUCUGGGUGACUCCAAGCCCUAAUCCCUCAGCCCCAGUUAUAAAGGUAAGAGGCAGGCAAGUCCACUGUGGGCCAGAGGGCAUGAGUGAGUCCCCUGAACAGCUGCAGUGUUUGUUCUCAUGGUCUUGGGGAAGGUUGACUUGUCAGAAAGAAAGUGUGAGCUUUGGGUAGGAAGAGGUGGGGAAAGCGUUUCUUGUGGAAGGAUAGUUUUGAACCAAGUUUUGGAGGCAGACAGAACCUGGGUGUUUGGGACAGUGAAGAGGCAGGUGGGGUUUAUUUUGGUAUAAAAGGAUCAGGGUAUUGAAUUGGGGUCAGUCCUGGAAGGCCUCGAGGCCAGGUCAGGGUGGCUGGACUCUCCUCAAGAUUUUGUCUGUAAUGAAAACUUCUGAUUUUCUGAUGUGAUCCGCUUUAUGAAGAACAAGGAACCCCAGAGGCUGAGAAGAGGAGGAGGAUGGGAGACAGUGGCCAUCAGCAGCCACCCAGAGCUAGCUUGCUUGCUUUCUGCUUGUUUUUUCUUUUGGAGACAGAUUGGUCCUGGGAUCAAUCACUGGGUCCAGUAAUUUUCCUGCUUCAGGGCUGGGGAUGUGGCUCAAGCGGUAGCGUGCUUGCCUGGCAUGCGUGCGGCCCG